rnacentral:rRNA from 1 species
GAUGAACGCUGGCGGCGUGCCUAAUACAUGCAAGUCGAGCGAACAGACGAGGAGCUUGCUCCUCUGACGUUAGCGGCGGACGGGUGAGUAACACGUGGAUAACCUACCUAUAAGACUGGGAUAACUUCGGGAAACCGGAGCUAAUACCGGAUAAUAUAUUGAACCGCAUGGUUCAAUAGUGAAAGACGGUUUUGCUGUCACUUAUAGAUGGAUCCGCGCCGCAUUAGCUAGUUGGUAAGGUAACGGCUUACCAAGGCAACGAUGCGUAGCCGACCUGAGAGGGUGAUCGGCCACACUGGAACUGAGACACGGUCCAGACUCCUACGGGAGGCAGCAGUAGGGAAUCUUCGGCAAAGGGCGAAAGCCUGACGGAGCAACGCCGCGUGAGGGAUGAAGGUCUUCGGAUCGUAAAACUCUGUUAUUAGGGAAGAACAAAUGUGCAAGUAACUAUGCACGUCUUGACGGUACCUAAUCAGAAAGCCACGGCUAACUACGUG